rnacentral:rRNA from 1 species
UAAGGGGAAUAUUGCACAAUGGGCGCAAGCCUGAUGCAGCGACGCCGCGUGCGGGAUGGAGGCCUUCGGGUUGUAAACCGCUUUUGUUCAAGGGCAAGGCAGGCUUUCGGGCCUGUUGAGUGGAUUGUUCGAAUAAGCACCGGCUAACUACGUGCC